AGACACGAUGGUGGAGCUUUGGAUUUGAAUGCGUAAUCUUAAUAGGAAAUGGAGAACUUUAACAUGGGAAACUUGCAGCAGAGAGGGCCUCCUCCCAUCCAACUGGCCUGGUCAAGCUACUGGUGAUGGAAUCCAGGCUUCAAAAGAAGAACCAGAUGUCAGAUGGAAAUGAUCAAGAAGACAGAUCAGUAGUUCCUGUCGUGGCUCAAUGUUUCCAAGGAGGAUUUCACUCGGAGCAAUCUGUUUCCUGAGAGAGAGUCGAGGAAUUCUCUUGGAGUCUCUUGAGGAUCUGGUGAAGAGACCUUACCUGAAACUUGAGCCCUGGGGAGAGGCUAUUCCCAACAAAAACCACCAAAGCGCAGAGCUAGAGAUUCCCUGGUGACAACGGCUUUUAAAUCCAGUGGAAACAGAGAACUGCAUGAAGCAGCAGAGGGGUCAGCUGCAAGCCAGGGCCCUGCCCCCAGCCCCCGGUAACCAGAAUCCCCCAGUCUUUGGAAAGGUAGAUACCAAUGGCACUACCUUCAGCCAGGUAAACAAUGCAAUUCUAAACCCAACAAUCUGGGGGAGGUUGGACAUUUACGUCUGCAGAGAACAAUACCAGGCACUGGCCUCACUCCAGACCUGCAUGCCAGGCACCCUGUUGGCCAGCUCUGUGGCGCCUGUGUCUCAGCUCCAGAUUCCCUGCCUUUUGGUCCAUGCUCUUGGCACCUUCAUGCCAAGAAAACAAAUGGGGAUAGAAAAUAUAGCUUGGUGGCUACCGCAGUGACUGCUGCUGUGGGAAUUGUUUGAAAUAUCAAAGAACCAUUGCAGAUCCAGAGUGACAGCGGCCGUGGUGAACAUACACUCGCACUAUCAUAAUGGACUAGAAAUCAGAGGGUGUGUAUUCAGUUAUCAGCUCCACUACUUCCCAUCUUGUAACAUUAGUCUAGUUGUCAACUAGUAAAGGUCUGCUACAAAGCACAAGCUCCCAAAGCUGGUCAUUUGUUAAUAAAUGCCAAAGUCACUUAAGUGUUUGGGGCCUCUGUGGCUCCCUAUUAAAAAUAAGGGGGUUGAUAUCUUGGCAAUAAUGACAGCGACUGUUAUUUAUUGGGUGAUUACUAUGUGCUGGGCACUGCUGUGAAUUAAUUAAAUCUUUUAGUUGUCACAGAAACCCACUUCUUUUAACAUGCAAGGAAAUCAAAGCACAGAGAGGCUAAGUAACCGGCCCAAAGUUGGUAAGAGACAUAACACGAGAUUCAAAACUUCAAAGCCCAUGUGUUUAUCCAUUUUGUCAAUAUCUACCUUAUGUUAUUCUCAUUUUGUCAAUUAUCAUCAUCAGUGGGAAGAUGUUUAAUCUCUUCUUCCAAUUCUAUGUGUACUGCCUGUAUUACUUCUCAUAGAUUGAUCCUUUAAGUAUCCAUCUAUACUUGAGCCUCCAAACGUCACUGUAAAGCCUCCAAAAAUUUAUUUAUUUACACUCCAAAAAUGAGAAAUCAGGAAUUUUGUACCUACCUGCGGACGCAGUAUAAAGUGGACAGGGCUAGCAAGUAGGUUGAAUGCCAACGGGCAACACAAAGGAGCCGAUCUAACAGGGUACAAGCACUGGGACCAUAUGUAGCCGUGUACUGUUUAUACUAUGCAUAGCUAUGUACUGCUGACCAGCUCUCUAACAUGGAAAGACUUGACAUGUCAUUUCCCUAAGCAGCGUCACAGGCCAAGAGCUGAGGUAGACAGAGGAGCCCCAGUCAUGUGGAAGAAAAGCACUGGACUUAGAUUUCGAUAAUUGAAUGAAGGUCUUACUGGUUGCACAACCCUGGGCAAGACUGUUUCCCUCACUGAACCUGCCUCUACUUCUGUAAAAUGGGGAUGUGUGAUGUUUGAUGUACCUCACAGGCUUGUCAUGAGGAUUGAAUGGGAUGACAAGGAAACUACUUGGCAAACUCUAAAGACUUGCUACUCAAAGGGGCUCCUCAGACCUGCAGCACCAGCAUCAUUCAGAAGUUUGUGAAAAAGGCAAAUCUCCCCACCCCAGACCUCCUGAGACAGAAUCUGCAUUUCAGCAGCAUCCCCAGGUUAGUCAUAUGCACGUUAAAGUUGAGAAGCCCUGCUCUAAGGCACUAAAUCAGUGCAGCCUGUUGUAAUUUGGGGCUCUGUUUUCCUUGCAUAUACUUCAUAUAUAAUGAAAUGUAACACAGCCACAUUUAAAGGACUGUGCCAGGGAGUUCACGUCGUGGCACAGCAGAAACGAAUCCGACUAGGAACCAUGAGGUUGCGGGUUCAAUCCCUGGCCUCGCUCAGUGGGUUAAGGAUCUGGCAUUGCCGUGAGCUGUGGUGUAGGUCACAGACACGGCUUGGAUCUGGCAUUGCUGUGGCUGUGGUGUAGGCUUGGCAGCUAUAGCUUCGAUUAGACCCCUAGCCUGGGAAUCUCCAUAUGCCACGAGUGUGGUCCUAAAAAGGACAAAAAGGCAAAAUAAAAUAAACUAAAAAUAAAAAUAAAGGACUGGACCGGCUCAAAGUUUUCCACCUCCUCCUUCCCUGGAACCCGAUGACUGUGCCAGGUGUGGGCCCCAGUCGCCACCCAUGUGACAAGCAGACUAUUCCUAGAGAGCAGUUCCCUUUGCUGAGUUAGGAACCACCUGAGCGAGGCACUGCCUUGUAAAAUGCCUGGCCAUUUUUGAGUUGGGAGAACCAAUAAAGUGCAAACCCACAUAUCAAGAACUGUCUCAGCCCUGGGAAAUGUUGUUAAAUAUGAGACUGAAGGGGAGUAGCAGCCAAAGUGGAGUUGCAGUGGAUUUUAAUCUCUUCUGCCCAGUCCCUAAAAGCAGCAGCUAGAGGAAUCACCUCAGAGUGGGAGGGCUCCUUGUCAUAAAUUUGUCUUUUAUUAGAUCCCUGUUAUGGAUGGGAGGCAUGUAACAGGUGCCUCACGAAUGCCGGUGAAACUGGGUUGAAUACUCUGUCUGCUUCCUAACUGUUAAAAGAGCUUCCCAUUGUGGCUCAGUGGUUUUAGAACCUGACUAGUAUCCAUGAGGAUGCGGGUUCUAUCCCUGGCCUCCCUCCGUGGGUUAAGGAUCCAGCGUUGCCAUGAGCUGUGGUGUGUGUAGGUCACAGACAAAGCUCAGAUCCCGUGUUGCUGUGGCCGUGACAUAGGCCAGCAGCUGUGACUCUGAUUCGCCCCCUAGCCUGGGAACUUUUGUAUGCUAUGGGUGUGGCUCUAAAAAGAAAAAAAGAAAUUUUUUUAAGAAAAAAAAAAUUUAGAAAGAGCUUUAAAACUGCAGUUUAGAGGAAGACAGUGUGGGGUAGCCGGAGGGGUCCUGCUUGGGCUGUUUGCUCGAACUCCUUCCGCUUAAAGUAUUCAGUCUCCCAAGGUGCUGUGUUUUAGGGUAGCAUGUCCUAAAACCCCUAACUAGCCAAACCGAGGAGUCCUUACAUUCUAUCUAGCCAGCUCCUGGUGUCCUGACAGGUUCACAAUUGUUUUAAAGCUCAUCUCAGAAAACAAAGGGACAGAAGACUCUGAACAAACACUUCUCACUAAGUUCUCCCAGUUUAUGACACUCACCUCGUAUUCUAUGGCCUGAAAUAUUUCUACAUGACUGUGUGUUCUUCAUCAAGCCCAGCAGAAAAAUACUCAGGUUUAACUUUUCCUCCAGGUCUUCGUUUCCUUAUGCAGGCUUCCGUAUCACGUAAAAUUUAUAUUCAGUACUUUUGGACAAUUUUCUCCUGUUUAUCUGUCUUUGUAGGUUUCAUUUUCAGACCCAGCCGGGUACCCUAAAAGGGUCAGGGAAAACUUUUUUUCCUCCCUUACACUAGCUUACCUCCUUUUCACGUGCGUGGAAGCACACACAUGUCACUGUUCCUUCUUUUCACCCCUGUUAUCGUUUUCUCCAUCUUCCAUUCCCUUGGUCAAAGCUUAACCAAGUGAACACAUAAAUUUUAAUAACCUGUCAAAAUGUCAUAAUGGAAAUGGAACAAUUCCAUUUGUAAAUCACUAUUGACCAAAAAAAAUUCUUUGCCUUUCAAACAUGUUUUAAAUAGAUGUCCUAAAUUUGGUUUGUUUAAGAAACAGUCUGUUCCAGAAAGUCUAUGACUAAGACAUGAAUGACAAAAACACAUUAAUGAAGUAUUAGUGCAUAGACUUAAGUAAUUGUACACUGUUCUACAACUUCAGAGGUCAGAGAUCUGUGCUGUGUAGAGGUGGGUCAAGGAAGGGAAAACCCUCCCAUUUGGAGAAAGUCUCCACUGGAGAAUAUCCCGGUUGGGAUUGUGUAGUUCUCAGGAGCAAUGCUAUUCUAAAUUUUGGGGGUUUGCUCUUACCAGAAAAGAAAAAGGAAGCAAGCACAUGGAAGGGCCAUAGCACCCUUUCCUUGAGCACCGAUUAUCCGUGGUGAGGCAGAGAGAGUUGCCUGGGAAAACUUGGUCAUCAAGAUCACCCCAGGCCCAGAAUGUGAGAGCUUGGGUAGAGUUGUGUGUGUCCAGCGACACAUUUGCACUUCCAAGAAGGUACCAAAGUUGCUUUUACUCUACCUCAGAGGUAGGAGUGUGUAAAGCCCCAUUCAGUAACAGUGCAAAGUCUGGCAGAAGGUCCCCAUACAUUCACAUGUGUUUAUUUACAUUUUGUUCUAAAAUCUACAUUCAGGAGUUCCCGUCGUGGUGCAGUGGUUAACGAAUCUGACUAGGAACCAUGAGGUUUCAGGUUCGAUCCCUGGCCUUGCUCAGUGGGUUAGGGAUGCGGCAUUGCUGUGGCUCUGGUGUAGGCUGGCAGCUUAGCUCCGAUUAGACCCCUAAGCUGGGAACCUCCAUGUGCUGCAGGAGCAGCCCUAGAAAAGGCAAAAAGACCAAAAAAUAAAAUCUAUGUCACCUACACUGCAGGCUUCUCUGGCCAUAGGGUGAGUCUCCAGGAUCUUUUAUUAUUAUAUAUUUAUUGGAGUAUAUUUGCUGUCCAGUGUUGUGUUAGUUUCUGGUGAUUCAGUUAUAUGUGUGUAUAGAAGAAUCUGUUCUUUCUCAGAUUCUUUUUCAUAAUGAUUUAAUACAAGAUAUUGAGUAUAGUUCCUAGGCUCUACAAUAGGACCUUGUUUAUCUACUCAGGGUCUUUUAAAAGAGAGACAAAGGGGCUUAUCCUAAAGGAAGCCAGUAGAGACCCACAGUUUAGUUUUGGGACAAAAAGCAGCCUCCUAGGAAGUGUUUUUAAUAAAGUCCAACUUUCAGAUCAUACCCUGAUCCAAGUGAUUCAACCCAACCUGACUCCUCAGAAGAGGAGGCUGCCAAAAAAACACUGCCUCAGCACAGGUUCCGUGGCAGACAAGCACGCUGGUGGCAGUGGUGGCAGACAGAGCUCUCUGGCAUGGCAGACGCUGUCAAGGUGCAGACACUGGUGGCCAGUAGCAGCAGAACCCUCAGCAGCUAUCUGAGGCAUCGGGAGUUGAACCACUAAAUUUGGCAGUGGUGGUGACCAGGAUAACUCACCAAGAAGCCAUCAAUGAGGAGAGGAGAGAAGAAUGGCAACUGCCACAUCACAACUAAGGACAGCCACUGUGCACAAACGGCCUACUCUCAGAGACUCUGAGAGCUAUCAAGGUAGAAUUUAAGAGGAGUUCCCGUCGUGCCUCAGAGUUAAAGAAUCUGACUGGCAUCCAUGAGGACCACAAGUUCAAUCCCUGGCCUUGCUCAGUGGGUUAAGGAUCUGGCAUUACCAUGGGCUGUGGUGUAGGUCCCAGAUCCGGGUGCGGCUUGGAUCUGGCGUUGCUGUGGCUGUGGUGUAGGCCGGUACCUACAGCUCUCUUUCGACCCCUAGCCUGGGAACCUCCAUAUACUUCGAGUGUGGCCCUAAAACGCAAAAAAAACAAAAAAAAAA
rnacentral:lncRNA from 1 species